GGUUAAGCGACUAAGCGUACACGGUGGAUGCCCUGGCAGUCAGAGGCGAUGAAGGACGUGCUAAUCUGCGAUAAGCGUCGGUAAGGUGAUAUGAACCGUUAUAACCGGCGAUUUCCGAAUGGGGAAACCCAGUGUGUUUCGACACACUAUCAUUAACUGAAUCCAUAGGUUAAUGAGGCGAACCGGGGGAACUGAAACAUCUAAGUACCCCGAGGAAAAGAAAUCAACCGAGAUUCCCCCAGUAGCGGCGAGCGAACGGGGAGCAGCCCAGAGCCUGAAUCAGUGUGUGUGUUAGUGGAAGCGUCUGGAAAGGCGCGCGAUACAGGGUGACAGCCCCGUACACAAAAAUGCACAUGCUGUGAGCUCGAUGAGUAGGGCGGGACACGUGGUAUCCUGUCUGAAUAUGGGGGGACCAUCCUCCAAGGCUAAAUACUCCUGACUGACCGAUAGUGAACCAGUACCGUGAGGGAAAGGCGAAAAGAACCCCGGCGAGGGGAGUGAAAAAGAACCUGAAACCGUGUACGUACAAGCAGUGGGAGCACGCUUAGGCGUGUGACUGCGUACCUUUUGUAUAAUGGGUCAGCGACUUAUAUUCUGUAGCAAGGUUAACCGAAUAGGGGAGCCGAAGGGAAACCGAGUCUUAACUGGGCGUUAAGUUGCAGGGUAUAGACCCGAAACCCGGUGAUCUAGCCAUGGGCAGGUUGAAGGUUGGGUAACACUAACUGGAGGACCGAACCGACUAAUGUUGAAAAAUUAGCGGAUGACUUGUGGCUGGGGGUGAAAGGCCAAUCAAACCGGGAGAUAGCUGGUUCUCCCCGAAAGCUAUUUAGGUAGCGCCUCGUGAAUUCAUCUCCGGGGGUAGAGCACUGUUUCGGCAAGGGGGUCAUCCCGACUUACCAACCCGAUGCAAACUGCGAAUACCGGAGAAUGUUAUCACGGGAGACACACGGCGGGUGCUAACGUCCGUCGUGAAGAGGGAAACAACCCAGACCGCCAGCUAAGGUCCCAAAGUCAUGGUUAAGUGGGAAACGAUGUGGGAAGGCCCAGACAGCCAGGAUGUUGGCUUAGAAGCAGCCAUCAUUUAAAGAAAGCGUAAUAGCUCACUGGUCGAGUCGGCCUGCGCGGAAGAUGUAACGGGGCUAAACCAUGCACCGAAGCUGCGGCAGCGACACUAUGUGUUGUUGGGUAGGGGAGCGUUCUGUAAGCCUGUGAAGGUGUACUGUGAGGUAUGCUGGAGGUAUCAGAAGUGCGAAUGCUGACAUAAGUAACGAUAAAGCGGGUGAAAAGCCCGCUCGCCGGAAGACCAAGGGUUCCUGUCCAACGUUAAUCGGGGCAGGGUGAGUCGACCCCUAAGGCGAGGCCGAAAGGCGUAGUCGAUGGGAAACAGGUUAAUAUUCCUGUACUUGGUGUUACUGCGAAGGGGGGACGGAGAAGGCUAUGUUGGCCGGGCGACGGUUGUCCCGGUUUAAGCGUGUAGGCUGGUUUUCCAGGCAAAUCCGGAAAAUCAAGGCUGAGGCGUGAUGACGAGGCACUACGGUGCUGAAGCAACAAAUGCCCUGCUUCCAGGAAAAGCCUCUAAGCAUCAGGUAACAUCAAAUCGUACCCCAAACCGACACAGGUGGUCAGGUAGAGAAUACCAAGGCGCUUGAGAGAACUCGGGUGAAGGAACUAGGCAAAAUGGUGCCGUAACUUCGGGAGAAGGCACGCUGAUAUGUAGGUGAAGUCCCUCGCGGAUGGAGCUGAAAUCAGUCGAAGAUACCAGCUGGCUGCAACUGUUUAUUAAAAACACAGCACUGUGCAAACACGAAAGUGGACGUAUACGGUGUGACGCCUGCCCGGUGCCGGAAGGUUAAUUGAUGGGGUCAGCGCAAGCGAAGCUCUUGAUCGAAGCCCCGGUAAACGGCGGCCGUAACUAUAACGGUCCUAAGGUAGCGAAAUUCCUUGUCGGGUAAGUUCCGACCUGCACGAAUGGCGUAAUGAUGGCCAGGCUGUCUCCACCCGAGACUCAGUGAAAUUGAACUCGCUGUGAAGAUGCAGUGUACCCGCGGCAAGACGGAAAGACCCCGUGAACCUUUACUAUAGCUUGACACUGAACAUUGAGCCUUGAUGUGUAGGAUAGGUGGGAGGCUUUGAAGUGUGGACGCCAGUCUGCAUGGAGCCGACCUUGAAAUACCACCCUUUAAUGUUUGAUGUUCUAACGUUGACCCGUAAUCCGGGUUGCGGACAGUGUCUGGUGGGUAGUUUGACUGGGGCGGUCUCCUCCUAAAGAGUAACGGAGGAGCACGAAGGUUGGCUAAUCCUGGUCGGACAUCAGGAGGUUAGUGCAAUGGCAUAAGCCAGCUUGACUGCGAGCGUGACGGCGCGAGCAGGUGCGAAAGCAGGUCAUAGUGAUCCGGUGGUUCUGAAUGGAAGGGCCAUCGCUCAACGGAUAAAAGGUACUCCGGGGAUAACAGGCUGAUACCGCCCAAGAGUUCAUAUCGACGGCGGUGUUUGGCACCUCGAUGUCGGCUCAUCACAUCCUGGGGCUGAAGUAGGUCCCAAGGGUAUGGCUGUUCGCCAUUUAAAGUGGUACGCGAGCUGGGUUUAGAACGUCGUGAGACAGUUCGGUCCCUAUCUGCCGUGGGCGCUGGAGAA
rnacentral:rRNA from 1 species